CGCUGGCGGCGUGCUAAUCAUGCAAGUCGAACGAAACUUCUUACACCGAAUACUUGCAUUCACCGUAAGAAGUUGAGUGGCGGACGGGUGAGUAACACGUGGGUAACCUGCCUAAAAGAAGGGGAUAACACUUGGAAACAGGUGCUAAUACCGUAUAUCUCUAAGGAUCGCAUGAUUCUUAGAUGAAAGAUGGUUCUGCUAUCGCUUUUAGAUGGACCCGCGGCGUAUUAACUAGUUGGUGGGGUAACGGCCUACCAAGGUGAUGAUACGUAGCCGAACUGAGAGGUUGAUCGGCCACAUUGGGACUGAGACACGGCCCAAAUUCCUACGGGAGGCAGCAGUAGGGAGUCUUCCACAAUGGACGCAAGUCUGAUGGAGCAACGCCGCGUGAGUGAAGAAAGUCUUCGGAUCGUAAAACUCUGUUGUUAGAGAAGAACACGAGUGAGAGUAACUGUUCAUUCGAUGACGGUAUCUAACCAGCAAGUCACGGCUAACUACGUGCCAGCAGCCGCGGUAAUACGUAGGUGGCAAGCGUUGUCCGGAUUUAUUGGGCGUAAAGGGAACGCAGGCGGUCUUUUAAGUCUGAUGUGAAAGCCUUCGGCUUAACCGGAGUAGUGCAUUGGAAACUGGAAGACUUGAGUGCAGAAGAGGAGAGUGGAACUCCAUGUGUAGCGGUGAAAUGCGUAGAUAUAUGGAAGA
rnacentral:rRNA from 1 species